rnacentral:sRNA from 1 species
CUCCACUGUAUCCGCCGCUGUGACCGAGUAACACGGCUUGAGUUCCUGCCCUUCCACUUCCUCCUGGCUACAGCUUCAGAAACAGGGUUUCUAACCUACCUGGAUGUGUCAGUGGGGAAGAUUGUGGCAGCUCUGAAUGCUCGAGCUGGGCGGCUCGAUGUUAUGAGUCAGAACCCUUACAAUGCCGUCAUCCAUCUCGGACACAGCAAUGGUACUGUGUCUUUAUGGAGUCCAGCUAUGAAGGAGCCACUGGCAAAGAUUCUCUGUCAUCGUGGUGGGGUCCGGGCUGUGGCAGUAGAUUCUACAGGCACGUACAUGGCCACCUCUGGCCUAGACCACCAGCUGAAGAUCUUUGACUUGCGAGGGACGUACCAGCCUCUGAGCACUCGGACCCUGCCCCAUGGAGCAGGGCACCUGGCCUUCUCCCAGAGGGGACUGCUGGUGGCGGGAAUGGGUGACGUUGUCAACAUCUGGGCAGGGCAGGGCAAGGCCAGCCCACCCUCCCUUGAACAGCCCUACCUCACCCACCGGCUCUCAGGCCCUGUGCAUGGCCUUCAGUUCUGCCCCUUUGAAGAUGUGCUGGGGGUGGGGCACACUGGGGGCAUCACCAGCAUGCUGGUCCCUGGUGAGUGGGCCAGGGGAUGGGGUUUGAAGUGAAUGAACUCUGGGUGGAAGUUUGGGCCAGAGACAUCCAGGAACUGGGGGCUUAGUUGGGCUGGAGCUGUUGGACUGAGGUUCUUCCUUAUGGCUCCAUGCUUCUCCCUCCCUCCCUUCAGGGGCCAGUGAGCCCAACUUCGAUGGCCUGGAGAGUAAUCCAUACAGAAGCCGGAAGCAGCGCCAGGAGUGGGAGGUGAAGGCCCUGCUAGAGAAGGUACCUGCAGAGCUUAUUUGUCUGGACCCACGAGCCCUGGCCGAGGUGGAUGUCAUCUCCCUGGAGCAGGGAAAGAAGGAGCAGAUAGAGAGGCUGGGCUAUGACCCGCAGGCUAAGGCUCCCUUCCAGCCAAAGC